rnacentral:rRNA from 1 species
UACGAAGGGGGCUAGCGUUGUUCGGAAUUACUGGGCGUAAAGGGCGCGCAGGCGGUCCUUCAAGUCAGAUGUGAAAGCCCCGGGCUCAACCUGGGAACUGCAUUUGAGACUGAAGGACUAGAGUUCGGGAGAGGAUGGUGGAAUUCCCAGUGUAGAGGUGAAAUUCGUAGAUAUUGGGAAGAACACCGGUGGCGAAGGCGGCCAUCUGGACCGAUACUGACGCUGAGGCGCGAAAGCGUGGGGAGCAAACAGGG